rnacentral:sRNA from 1 species
GGAGCGCUCGGGGUCCCCGGGCGGCGGCGGCGGCGCAGAGGAGGAGGCAGGCGGCGGCCCCGGUGGCUCCCCCCCGGACGGUGCGCGGCCCGGCCCGUCUCGCGAACUCGCGGUGGUCGCGCGGCCCCGCACGGCUCCCACCCCGGGCCCCUCCGCCGCCGCCAUGGCUCGGCCGCUGGUGCCCAGCUCGCAGAAGGCGCUGCUGCUGGAGCUCAAGGGGCUGCAGGAAGAGCCUGUCGAGGGCUUCCGCGUGACACUGGUGGACGAAGGCGAUCUAUACAACUGGGAGGUGGCCAUCUUCGGGCCCCCCAACACCUACUACGAGGGCGGCUACUUCAAGGCGCGCCUCAAGUUCCCCAUCGACUACCCGUACUCUCCACCGGCCUUUCGGUUCCUGACCAAGAUGUGGCACCCUAACAUCUACGAGACGGGGGACGUGUGUAUCUCCAUCCUCCACCCACCGGUGGACGACCCCCAGAGCGGGGAGCUGCCCUCAGAGAGGUGGAACCCCACGCAGAAUGUCAGGUAAGCCAGCCCAGAACAUCAGGUAGGCCAGGCUCCCUCCCGUGUCCACCCAGAACAUCAGGUAGGCUGGGCUCCCCUGCAGGCCGUGGCGCCGAGGCCUGAUUCGGGACCUGCCAGCUGGCGGUCCUGGGCCUCACUAUACCUGCACGGUGGGUGCUUUCAUGGGGCCUGCAGCACUGUGGUGUCGGUGCAGACUCCCACCAGGACCCCAGGCCGGCCCCACCGUCUGGAACCACCUAGAGGUGUCCCACCCUCCUUAGUCCUGGGGCCUUCUCCUUCCCCAGCCGUCUCUGGGUUGGUCGCCUCGUGCCACGUGUGCUGCCCAGGCCUCGUCUCCAGGUACAGGCACUGGGCCGUG